UACGUAGGGUGCGAGCGUUGUCCGGAAUUAUUGGGCGUAAAGGGCUCGUAGGCGGUUUGUCGCGUCGGGAGUGAAAACCUCGGGCUUAACUCGGGGCUUGCUUUCGAUACGGGCAGACUGGAGGUAUGCAGGGGAGAACGGAAUUCCUGGUGUAGCGGUGAAAUGCGCAGAUAUCAGGAGGAACACCGGUGGCGAAGGCGAGUCUCUGGACAUUUCCUGACGCUGAGGCACGAAAGCCAGGGGAGCAAACGGG
rnacentral:rRNA from 1 species